rnacentral:rRNA from 1 species
GAUGAACGCUGGCGGCGUGCCUAACACAUGCAAGUCGAACGGAAAGGCCCUGCGUUUGUGGGGUGCUCGAGUGGCGAACGGGUGAGUAACACGUGAGUAACCUGCCCUUGACUUUGGGAUAACUUCAGGAAACUGGGGCUAAUACCGGAUAGGAGCUCCUGCUGCAUGGUGGGGGUUGGAAAGUUUCGGCGGUUGGGGAUGGACUCGCGGCUUAUCAGCUGGUUGGUGGGGUAGUGGCUUACCAAGGUUUUGACGGAUAGCCGGCAUGAGAGGGUGACCGGCCACAUUGGGACUGAGAUACGGCCCAGAAUCCUACGGGAGGCAGCGGUGGGGAAUAUUGCACAAUGGGCGGAAGCCUGAUGCAGCAACGCCGCGUGCGGGAUAACGGCCUUCGAGUUGUAAACCGCUUUCGCCUGUGACGAAGCGUGAGUGACGGUAAUGGGUAAGAAAGCACCGGCUAACUACGUG